AAACACAUGCUGAACAAACACACUGACUCAGAUUACUCGUAAAAGGUAGCAUCCGUGUUCACUACAUUCGAGGCAGUCUGCUAAGUACUAUAUAUACGUUAUCUUAUUUAACGCUCACGGCUGCCUUAUAAAUAAAAUUUAGGCUAAAUUACAUGAAAUUUCCAAAGUUCGAUAUGUUUGGUUUAUGAAAACAGAAGAAUCUGGAGGUUGGCACAGAUCACACAAUCACACAGGGCCCACUCAGGAUUCAAACUCAGGUCUGUCUGAUAAGGACUCUAGAAUAGGGUAACCUUGAGUUCUAAAUACAGCCGCCAUUUACUAGCUGUGUGGCCUGGGAUAGGUUGCUUAACCUCUCUGAGCUUCCUUUUCUUGACCUACACAGAGGGAAUAAUAACAAACCCCCCUUUGCUAGGUGCCGAUUGGAAGACAGCAGGCAUUAAAACUCUUAGCACAACGCCAGACACAAAAGUGCUCAAUGAGAGGUGGCUGUGCCUCCAUUGUUGCUGUUAAUAUGCCAAAAUCUGGGCUGUGAAGCACCUUCCCAACCUGCUGUGGGGUGGGGGUGGGGGGUGCCUUCUGAAGUCAGUGUGUCUCCUGGGCAGAAAGGAAAGAGAUUUUCCUGCAGGAACCAGGACAGUCCUACUAGUAAAUAGUCCUCAGAUUCACGGGGAGAGAGAGCCAGGAGCUGUGUCCUCCGGGUCCCAGCACUGCAGGCCCCCUGCUAGUUCCUCCCUCUCUUAAGGGCUCUGGGACCUCACAGCCACAGGGGACUGACCCAGGAGGAAGCAGCCUUGGCAUUGGAGAGUGGCUGGGGCACCUCUGCCCUCAUUCGGGGCGGCCCUCCUAGGGACCUCUUUCUGCUCCUUUUCCCAUGAACCAGCCCGAAUGGCGUGUAUUUCCAGGAAAGCCCAGCUGCCUUUGCUACCGCUGAGGGGGCACUGCGAGUACCCAUCACCCUCGGGUCUCAUGUGGGCGCUCUCUGCUUUUCUGUAUUGAUGUUUCUGAUACAUGCAUGCAUGCAGCUGGGUUUGUGUUUCUGGGACCAAGGGGAGCACGGGCUGGGGGCUGGCACCACCCUUGGCAGCCAGCAUCCCAGGGUACAUUUUGCCCAUUCCAUUCCAUGCCUGGAUGGGACCCCCGCCUGCUGGGUGAGUAUUGCUUGACCCCUGCAAUUUUCCAGCUAAAUUUCCAAGGGUUCUUUGGGCAAGAAAUUACAAAGGCUGCUAACUUGAGAAUGAAGUUCCAACCCUGGCCCCCAGCUGUCCUCAGCCCAUCUCCUGGGGUGCUGCUUCACACACGAACUGACAUCGAGGCAGCUGCAGUAAUGAAAGACUGAGAGAAGAGCACAGGCGAGCCGGCUGAACCACACCUUCGUUUCAGCACUUUGGGAAACGCACAGCCCCUUCCGUGCAGUCUGCCCUUUUGCUUGGCUGGCCUCUUGCAUAAGACGGGCUGCCCCCAGCUCCAUCGCUCUGAAAAACAUGUUUUACCCCCUCCAGAGAAACUCAAAACACAGACACUCCUUAGGCAUUUUCCUGGAAGCAUUCUAUAGCUCCAGUCUGGGAAGGCUUCCAAAAGAUUUCCGAACCAAAGAUAAUAAUAAUAAUAUUUUUCAAAGACGUGGGGAAAGAGAGAAGCUUGGGCAAAAUGCUCCUGUGGAUUAAUGUUCAAGGGAACAGACUUGGAUUGCAGGGAAAGGAAAAAGGAAGGGUUUUCCAGGUCAAUUUAAACAUUUGUGCUGUUUGCUUGAAAGGCAAUUUCAAAAAUAGUUGGCCUCCCCAAAGCGAUUUUUUGGAAUCUGCCCAGAGGGCAAAAACUUACCCUUCCUUCCCCCAUCUGGAAAGCUCUGCACAUCAGAGGCCCCACUCAUUCCUGAGCUCUGGCUUUAGAAACAAGGACUUUCCCAACCUUCCAAGAGUCCUUGCCCUCCCUCACCCGGCUGACCCACAAAGAGUUUGUGUUUGUUCCACCCUGCGGCAGCUGCAUUCCAGCUGUGGUGCUGUGAGGAAACAUUUAGGAAUCCUCCAUCCUCCGGCUGGAAAGGUAAAUGUGAAACGUGUCCUCAGAUACCUGAAGGCUGGUGACACUCUGCAGAGACACCCAAGGAACAGAUUCUGGCCUUUGGGUUCCGUUUACAAUUCUACUGUGCCAAGCGCCAGCUGUCCGUCAAACAGGAAAAGCAUUUAGUGGUCUUACCCCUAAAAGUGCUGACCAGCCUGGCCACCCCCUACUGUGAAAUGCAAGAAACGAAACUCAAACAUCUUUGUGAAGCAUCAAAAAUCAUCGGUUCCCUUACGCGCGCUCAUCUUUUUAAUUAAAGCACAGCUUCUCGUUCCACACAAGCCUUUGGAACAACAGAGUAGAGAGAACCUCCAUUUAGGAAUUGAGGCUGAACUUGACUGCUGUGGGAAGGUUAUGGCAGCAGCUCAGAGGCAGAUGGUAGGGGAAAUGUCUCCUAGGAAGUUCCUGGCUUUCAAAGAUACAGCAGCUUUGCCAGAGGAUGCGGGUGCAGAGGUGGGCCUCAGACAGCAACAAGGAGCCUUUAAAGGCAUAGAGGCUGGCCGGACGGGGCGGGCAGAGCAAAUGGCCUUGUAGGCAGCUGAAGCUCUCAGCAACUGUGAGGACAAAUGCCACCAAGCCCUCCUGGUUGCCAGGAGUGCUGCAGCCUUAACCAGGGUCUUUCCCCUCAGUCUCUUUGCCAUCACCGUGUGUCUUCUGGGACUGCACCAUGCCCCACAGGUAAAUGACAGCCUGUCUCUCUACCUGGUUUUAGAACGGCCGGCAGCAGCUGCCGAGCUACACGCUAUCUCAUCCGAGCUUCUUCAUUUCCUGUCUCUUGAGAUUCCGUACCUUUUCCCUAGCAUCAUCGGCCACCUAGCCAGAGAGCAACAAUUAAGCGCCAUGGAAAUGCUUCGAGGAGCCAGUCUCCAGGGUGAGGACCCCUAGAAAGUCCUCCAUUAAUUCCUGGUGCUGAAAGCAGAUAAUGGAAACUCAGUAGGAGAGCUUGGUGGCCUGGGGAGGGGGGGCACCCAGCAAUUAUGAACGCUUCCUUCUCCCUGCUUCUUCCUGCUCCUGCUGUCCCCCGACAAGCACUCCCUGCCAUCUGCCUUUUAACACCUCCAAGGCCACCACUGCCACUGCCCCCACCCGCCCAGCCACUCACUUCCCAUCCAGGUCCUUUCAGACGACGGCCUGCAUGGUUACCAUGGAGAGGGCCACCCCCCCACCUUUGGGGGCUCUGAGACCCUAGAAGGAAAGCACCAGGAAACCCCAAACCGUCUCCCUCCCGAAAACAAUGGCUUCCAGGGUCUGUGCCAGACACAGUCAGAGCACCCGAAAUAGACUCAUUGUCCUCUUGUGCAAUAUCCAGGAAUUUGGUGAAACUCAUCAUUUUUCAGGUUACCGAUAAUGCAAGUUUGGAAACUGAAACAGGAAGGAACACAGGCUGAAAAAGCUUUUAUCCAGCCCACAGCAUUUCUCUCUCCAGAUGCAAGACAGUUUUUUUUUUUUUUUCGGUUGUUGUUGUUUUUUUGUUUUUUUCCCAGCCGUACUUUGGUGGGGUUAAAAUUAGCUGGCAGCAUUCUGGUCACAUGCUAGACAGCAACACAAAAGGGAGUUGUUCCCUGGCAGCCCCUGAAGCAGACCUUCCUAAUCCACCGACUUCUGGGAAGCAGGCUCCUCAGGCCCCGGGACAGGGACGCCACACCACCGGCUCCCCUCUGUCGUCAUCGUCAUCGGGCUGAACCUGGGGAGUGUCUAGGCUGUUCGGAAUCUCAGAGCGUGCCUCCCUUUGGGAAGACACUCGAGGGCCCCCACAUGGCUUGUUCAAACUUCCCAUUUGGGAGAGGAAGGAAGGCUGAAAAAAGGAAGAACUUUUGAAGCUUUAAACCGUCACCAGAAGCCCUAGAUGAAAAAUAGAGCCUCUGAUGCGUGCACACAGUCAGGAAACAUCCCUUGCGCUCAGUACAGAAACAUGUCGGUCAACCUGGGAAAGGAAUCACCACCAUGAAAUAUGCUUUGGGCUUGCCAAAGCCCAGCAGCUGCAAGAGCCAAAAACUCAGCUGCCUGGAUUUUCUGGGGAAGGUGGGGGCUGAAGUUGGGGUGGGGGGAGGCUGGAGGAGAAAGAGUCACCUGAUUUCUGCCUCCACCUCCUGUUUAAUUCCAAGCCAAAACCCAUCUCGAAAUGUCUCAAGGGCCAAUUGCUCCUCAAAAUUGCAUUCAACGCUACCCCUUCCAGUUCUGCGCCUGCUGGUGAGGUGAAGCAGAUGGCUUUUAUUGAUUAAUGUAUUUAUUUGGAAGAGGCCACUGGAAGUAAAGAAAUUCCAGUGAAACGGAAUGCCCUGGCCAGAACUGCCCUGACAAUAUAGCUGACAGCCAGAGAGAGGCAGGUUAAAAGACAUCACAGUUAAGCCCCCAGAACCUGGGGCAUUUUCUGUCUUUCUCCCGUCUGGCCUCCAUGUCAGCUGUGCACGUAUGAAGAAAUACCUCAUUUGGUUCAACCUUCUGUGGUAUUCAAGGGUUUGUGUGAGCUCUAGGGCCCGCUUUGUCAAAAGGGCUUCACAAACCAAACAGGCCUCUGACUUGGAUCUCAUCCUGCAGCCCUCAUUAUACACAGACCCAACAGAAAUUCCCACUGCCUUAACGCCCAGCACAUAAAGUCCUCUUUAAUAAACAUACACCAUUUUUCAGUGGAGCAGCCACAAGGUGUCAAAAGUACAUAAAGGUCUGAAAGCUGAAACCCUAGAUAAACAGCGCACCGAAAUAUAUUUAGCAGAAAAUAUUGAAAGCCACAGGAAAAAUAUGUUCUCUUCCUGGGAUGUUAACGAAGGUUUAGGUUCAGGAAACCUUCAGGAAAUAGCGAGUUGGGUUGAGAAGGAAUACUGCUCAAUGUAAAUAAAUCACUAAACCUCUUUGGCCUCCAUAGGCCUUGGCUGGAAUGGAGUAUUUCAUUUUUCCCCCAUUAAACAGGCCACCCGGAGAGUUGGCAUUACAGACCUGAACAUGUACCAAAUCUGCGUGUAUUUUGUUUCUGUACAUCGACUCAGGCUGUUUCAAAUAGCAGCUUGUGCAAAAUGGAGGGGCCGGCCAUCCAGACUGGUUCCAUCCCUUCCCCUCAGCAUAAAUGAAAGACCUGUUUGCACUCCGAUCCCAAACCCAAGGUCUUGUCUCUGACAGGAACACACCCUUGUGUUGUUGCCCAGGGUGAUGUCAUGCUCAUUCUGAAGCCUGUCAUUCUGUUCGAAGGGACCCGGUCGCCUCUGCUGCAAUACGAUGCCUUCAGAAAGACCCAGAUUUCCUGUGGUCUCAGGGCAGGGAGAGAGAGAACCGGGAAAGGACAGGCGGCCACUCUCCCCAAGAUGGAUGCUUCAUGAUGUAAGCGGCUGGCUAAAGUAUCUGGCAUCCUUGCCGUUUCAAGUUGCCAGCUAAAUAUUAUUAAAAAGAUAAAAUACACGCAAACUGUGCAGAAUGUAGGGCUGCUGUGUUUACAUCCGGGUUGUGAUGACUCAAAGACUUACACUUGGGCUUGCUGAAAAGCUCUAUUAAAAACACAGCUUUGUGAGAGCCCCCAGGGAGCAGGAAGCAGGGCUUGGGGUGUGUGAGACUGUUUGGGUGGUUGGGGGGGGUGGGGAAGCUGGGCAUAUGGUGACCCGCCCGAGGGCGGUGCUGAAGACUGCGGUCCCGUCCCGGGUGGCACUUCAGGCCGGCGAAGUGCUCAGAGGUUAACCUCCGCUUGGCUUCGGCACCAGAGCCGGGAGGGUUAACCUUUUUCCAGAACAUUUAUUUCACCAUCUCACUGACUAGAGGGAGGAGGGGCGGGAGGCAGAGCGAGAGCCUGCCGCGCUGAGAGGCUGCGGAUCACAAGGCCAUUCUGAUAGCCUCCUGUCCCCAUGGCAACCGCAACGGCAUUUAUCAGUUCCUUCUGCGCACAGGCACAGCAAAUCUGCAUUGCACAUGGCAGGCUUCCAGCAUUUCAAAUGAAAGAGCACUUUGAACCGCUGCCAAGUUUGGAAGGAGCAGAACUGUCAGGGCUGCUUAAAGCUGGCAGUUUAUACUGGGGAGGUUUUCGCUUCCCAGAAUCCUCCGGGCCUGGCGAGCUGCCAAGUACUUAGCGGAAGCUAAAAAGUAACUCGCUCCCCUCCCUCCUCCCCUCCCCCCGCUCACGCUCCCCCUCCACGCCAUUCACCGCAGUGCUCUCAAAAUUUUCCACAUGUCCUGUGUCACCAGUGCAGACUGUACAAUGAAAACCAGAACGCCGGCUACCCAUGACCAGGCUUUUAUUAAUAGUGGGGGGAGGGAGGGCAGGCUGGGAUCAGACACUGACAGCCGGGGCACCAGGCUCCGCUGUACCUGCCAUAACCACUGGGCGUGAACCUAUGUGGAGUGUGCGCGUGUGUGCCUUUCAGCCUUAAAAAUACAUUAAUAAAAAUACGAGCAGCUUCAGAACUGUAGACACCCUGAAUAGCGGGGUCUGGGUAGGGGGUGGGUUUCCCUUGGGUGCUUUGGAGCUUCAUUUAGGAUGGGGAAUUGAGGUCACGCAGGCAGCGUUGUUCAGAUCCAGCCUUUCUAAGAGCCCUCGGGAAGAGGGCUGUUAUUGAGAACAGAGCCUGUUUCUAGAGCUUUCCUUGAAUCUCUCGGGUGGGGGUGUCGUGGUCAGAGCUCUGAGGCCACCGAUGGGGAGGGAGCUCCGAGAUGGUUUUCAAUGGAAAGUUUACCAGAUAACUUCUGACUGUCAGGCACCCCAGAGCACUAGGGCUUCUACUAGCAAAAACUGGAAAUUGGCAUUGCGUUCACUCUGCUGAAUUAAAAAAAAAAAUUAUAAUCUACACUGAGAUCAAGAGCCCGGGCUUUAUUUUCUAGCACAAAUAGAACGAAAAUUGUCUGCUGCUUAGGCGGUUGGAUAGAGUUCAGGAAAACUAUGUCUGGCAUUAAUUCCAAAGUGGAGGUUUUGGUUCAAGCGAGGCCCAUUAAUUUCAGUAAACUGUUUUCACUAGUCCAGACCCUGCUGUGCAAGGACUAUUUAUUACCUUUUGCUAACCUGAUGUCUGCAGAGUUGUAAAGCAAAGGUAAAAAAAAAAAAAAAA